GUUCCACUGUGAUUGUAGCUUGCUGCUGGCGUCUGCCUGACUAUUCACCCAAAGCUUUGCAUCUACUGAUUUGAUCUUUUGGUCUGGGUUUUUUUUCUUGAUGGAUCAGAUCUUCUACUGGAUCUAAGGAUGCCCUGACAAAAGAACAAAUAUAUCUUUCUGCUGUCAAAAGCAAGAACACUGCCUGGGGCCCAGCAACCCCUCCUGGCAAGGAAAUAAAGAUGUUCACUGUUGGGCCAAACUGGAGAAUCUGGAGGAAAGAGCCUAGAAUUGUAUUUUUGACUGCACAGAGCCAAAGUGUCAACUUGUACCCUGACUGAAACAAAACUUUAAUGAGCUUGGAGUGUUCACUCAUCACCCCAGCUGCGUCUCUUUUCAGUCAGACAGGAGAAGAGUCUGGCCAUAGCUACGCUUCACUCUUCAUACAACUGUUGUUUCUGAAGAACUCAGAAAGUUGCUCAGUUAAGGUUCACCUAUGGGAGAGCAGUCGGGUAUUUUCACCUUAUGUACGCUCGGAUGAAGCAGUCACUUACUGCCUGAAUGCAUCUGCAGAAAGCCUGAGCAACAUACAGCUGGAUAAAAGGAAUGACGAGAUAGACUUUCUGUCAUGGUUGGAAGUCGGUGGCUCUGACCUCUGUGUAGUGAUUUGUAGAAGUUUUUUCACUUUACUUUUUUUACUUUCCUGUGUGUAAAUACAGAAGAGUUAAAAAAAGAAAACAAUUCUUAAGCUAGAUUUACUUGUAAGUUUUCUUUUUUUGGAUGAGAACACAGCACCUUUAUGACAAGUAAACUAAAUGAUAUGAGCUCUUCUUUUGCCCAAGGCACAAUAUUUUUAUUGGAUCUUAAGAACAGACAUGAUUUGAAAUCCUCCUCCCAGAUGAUGCUUGGAAAGCAAACUUUUCCAGUUGAAGCAAAUUAAGAUGGAGGUGAAAAUGAACCAACUCUUUUCAGAAAACACUAUUCUAGACAGAAAUGAAAAAUAAAUUAAAUUUGGUUUUUCAAUAGCUAAA